AGGUCCAGAUAUGCAUUUUACAUUGUUGUUUUUUGGUGUAAAUGCAUUUUCUGGUAUCUGA
rnacentral:pre_miRNA from 1 species